AUUGAACGCUGGCGGCGUGCUUAACACAUGCAAGUCGAUCGGUAACAGGUGUAGCAAUACAUGCUGACGAGAGGCGGACGGGUGAGUAAUGCUUGGGAAUCUGCCUAUUAGGUGGGGGACCAACCCGGGGAAACUCGGGCUAAUACCGCAUACGCUCUACGGAGGAAAGCCGGGGACCGCAAGGCCUGGCGCUAAUAGAUGAGCCCAAGUCGGAUUAGCUAGUGGUAGGACGCCUACCAGCGACAUCCGUAGCUGGUCUGAGAGGACGACCAGCCACACCGGAACUGAGACACGGUCCGGACUCCGUACGGGAGGCAGCAGUGGGGAAUAUUGGACAAGUGGGGGCAACCCUGAUCCAGCGACGCCGCGUGGGUGAAGAA
rnacentral:rRNA from 1 species